CCUACGGGAGGCAGCAGUGAGGAAUAUUGGUCAAUGGGCGAGAGCCUGAACCAGCCAAGUCGCGUGAGGGAGUACUGCCCUAUGGGUUGUAAACCUCUUUUGUCGGGGAGCAAAAGCCGGACGUGUCCGGCUGUGAGAGUACCCGAAGAAAAAGCAUCGGCUAACUCCGUGCCAGCAGCCGCGGUAAUACGGAGGAUGCGAGCGUUAUCCGGAUUGAUUGGGUUAAAAGGGUGCGCAGGCGGACUUUUAAGUCAGCGGUCAAAGCGUGGGGCUCAACCCCAUCCAGACGUGGAAACUGGGGGGCUAGAGGGCGGGAGAGGUAGGCUGAACGCGAGGUGUAGCGGUAAAAUGCAUAGAUAUAACGCAGAACCCC
rnacentral:rRNA from 1 species